GAAAAAUUUCCAUGUGUUAAAUGCUCAAAAAAAAUCACUGUGAUUUGAAGAGAUUCUCAGACUGCCUGACAAAUAAGGCUCAUUUCCUUUAUGCCAUUCCCAGUUAUUGGCUGCUGUUCAGGAGGGCAUAUGUGUGUCACUUGAAGCUAGCUGUGCUCAGCAGGGCUGUAUGCAUGAAGGACCCCCCCCCACCCACGCGGGUGCUCAACAGGGAAGGUGGAAACCGGUCGUGGGAAAAUCUGAAGAGCACAUCUAAUUCGGGGGCUGUUCGGCAUUAACUGCGCUGCCUGCCUGUGCUGCAUCAUGAAAGCCCUUGUGUGAAGGUGUCCUGUCCUGCCCUUCGCUACUGGGGGCAGAUGUUUUCUGCUGGAUUACCUGCUUUGAACUGCAACAUGGCCUCGCCUCUCCCGACUCCGUGGGGAGAUGGGAAAGCAGUUGCGCUGUGUGACGUGUCCUGUAAAGCAGUCAGCUAAACACCAGCUGUAAUUGUAAAUGCGUCAGUAGGGGUUGGGAAGAAUAUUAAGCCUCAGGCUUUAGUCCUUAAGCCAGUCUCUAGUUGUCUGGGAUCGAGAUGGGGUGACAAAGGACUUUUUUUUGCGUUUUGUGGUCUGGUCCUGGUCUCGCUGUGCUGAGAUGGAGAGGUGGUCUCUGCAUGUCUGAGCAGCACAGAGCAAUUUCCAUAGCAGCUUGUGAUCAGCUUGUGUUUUAAUUCUUAGUGUUAAUAAUGUUAUUAAUUGUAGGGUGGCAGUGCAUAUGGGUUUCAGCCAAAUCAGGAUUCAAAAUUCUCUUGUGCUAGGUGCUGUACAGUCAUAAAUGCACGUUUCAUGCCCCAAAUGCUUUCUAAUAGCUCCUUUGGGGUAUUGUACUGAUAAGUGACACCUAUAUUUUCUUUUUUCUUUUGCUUAUUUCAGAGAGAUUUUUUGAAGAGCCAGGUGCUACACUAUUACCAGGAAUCAGGUGCCAGGGAGAGGAAGACGUGGCAGGCAGGGAGAACAUGCACAGUUCUACUCUGCGUGGGACCAUGACUCUUCUCUCCAAAGCUCUUUCUGAGUGAGUGCUGCUGGCAGGGAACUGUGGGCAGGGUCCAGGUCAGAGGCGAAAAAUCAAAGCUGUGCCUUAGUCCAUCACCAGCAGGCAUAAGGACAAUCCCUGCUCCUGGAGCUGAGCUUGGGCCUCUUCUCAAAGUCUGAACAGUGGCAAGAGCCCUUCUUGUACUACCCUGGCUAUGGCUGAGGCUAUGCCACCAAGUUAGCCACUGUUUGAGCUUAAUGCUCUGCUCCAUUCAUGUAUGCUCUUGAAGGGCACCCAGUCUUGAUGAAGACAUCCAGGGGUGGAGACUCGGUUGCCUUCAUUCACAAUGUGCUUCAGUGAUUAAUCACUCUCAUGAUGAAAAGUUGUAUUUUACUCCCAGUUUUAAUUUCUCCGGCUUCAGCUUCCAUCAAGUGAUCCAAGUUAUGCUUUUCCUUGCUAGAUUAAAUAGCACUUCAGGGCCUUCUUGUUCUCCUCCAGGGAAGUACUUGUACAUUGCAAUCACAUCACCUUUCUGUCUUCAUUUUGAUAUUUACUGAACAGAUUGUCCUCUUUAAGCCUUUCAAGUGCAAGGUGUAUUCUUUGUCUCUCAGGUCUUUGUGGAAACUCUUGUCUGCAUCUGCUUCAAAUCUUUGCAAAGGAAUUACUAAGACUUAGCUCAAUGUCACUGUCAUACGCUCCUCUUUCUGCUGCAGGACAUGUUUUUCUGUUAUAGCAUGACACUGGGACCUCAAGGUAGGAUUUCUGGACGUUGCGGCAGAGCCUUCCCUGAGUUGCUGCUCUAGGAUGAAGACUGUCAUCUUCUAAGCUUGUUCUGUAGUCUGUGUGUUUAGAUACGGUGCUUUGCACUGAAACCUAUUAAAAUGAAAAUUUCAUGGGCAGGCCUGGCUUCUCAGAUUCUCUCUGUUGUUCUGUAUGACUGCUUGUCUGUCUCAAUAUUUUCAUUCUACCCAUCUUUGUCAUCUGAAAAUUUGAUCAUCAAAGUUUUUGAAAGUACUUCUGGAUCACUGGUGAAAACAAUUGAGUAGUAUCAGAUCUAAUA